AGUGAACGCUGGCGGUAGGCCUAACACAUGCAAGUCGAACGGCAGCACAGUAAGAGCUUGCUCUUACGGGUGGCGAGUGGCGGACGGGUGAGGAAUACAUCGGAAUCUACUUUUUCGUGGGGGAUAACGUAGGGAAACUUACGCUAAUACCGCAUACGACCUACGGGUGAAAGCAGGGGAUCUUCGGACCUUGCGCGACUGAAUGAGCCGAUGUCGGAUUAGCUAGUUGGCGGGGUAAAGGCCCACCAAGGCGACGAUCCGUAGCUGGUCUGAGAGGAUGAUCAGCCACACUGGAACUGAGACACGGUCCAGACUCCUACGGGAGGCAGCAGUGGGGAAUAUUGGACAAUGGGCGCAGGCCUGAUCCAGCCAUACCGCGUGGGUGAAGAAGGCCUUCGGGUUGUAAAGCCCUUUUGUUGGGAAAGAAAAGCAGCAGGUUAAUACCCCGCUGUUCUGACGGUACCCAAAGAAUAAGCACCGGCUAACUUCGUG
rnacentral:rRNA from 1 species